GAUGAACGCUAGCUACAGGCUUAACACAUGCAAGUCGAGGGACCGGCGCACGGGUGCGUAACACGUAUCCAACCUGCACUUUACCCGGGGAUAGCCUUUCGAAAGAAAGAUUAAUACCCGAUACAAAGGAUGGGGAUGCGUUCCAUUAGGUUGUUGGUGAGGUAACGGCUCACCAAGCCUUCGAUGGAUAGGGGUUCUGAGAGGGAGGACCCCCACAUUGGAACUGAGACACGGUCCAAACUCCUACGGGAGGCAGCAGUGAGGAAUAUUGGUCAAGGGGCGCUAGCCUGAAACAGCCAAGUAGCGUGAAGAAUGAAGGCUUAUGGGUCGUAAACUUCUAUUAUAUAAGAAUAUGUAUUAUAUGAAAAAGGAUCGGCUAACUCCGUGCCAGCAGCCGCGGUAAUUC
rnacentral:rRNA from 1 species